rnacentral:rRNA from 1 species
UACGUAGGGUGCAAGCGUUGUCCGGAAUUAUUGGGCGUAAAGAGCUCGUAGGCGGCUUGUCGCGUCGGCUGUGAAAACCUGGGGCUCAACCCCCGGGCCUGCAGCCGAUACGGGCAGCUAGAGUUCGGUAGGGGAGACUGGAAUUCCUGGUGUAGCGGUGAAAUGCGCAGAUAUCAGGAGGAACACCGGUGGCGAAGGCGGGUCUCUGGGCCGAAACUGACGCUGGAGGAGCGAAAGCGUGGGGAGCGAACAGG